rnacentral:rRNA from 1 species
UACGGAGGGUGCAAGCGUUGUUCGGAAUUACUGGGCGUAAAGCGCGUGUAGGCGGCCGAUUAAGUCUGGUGUGAAAGCCCGGGGCUCACCCCCGGAAGUGCGCUGGAAACUGGUCGGCUAGAGUAUGGGAGAGGAAAGUGGAAUUCCCGGUGUAGCGGUGAAAUGCGUAGAUAUCCGGAGGAACACCAGAGGCGCAGGCGGCUUGCUGGGUCUGUAUUGACGCUCAGACACGAAAGCAUGGGGAGCGAACGGG